rnacentral:rRNA from 1 species
GGGAUUGCCUUAGUAACUGCGAGUGAAGCGGCAAAAGCUCAAAUUUGAAAUCUGGCGUCUUUGGCGUCCGAAUUGUAAUUUGGAGAGGCUACUUCGGAGAUGGUGCUGUCCUAAGUCCCUUGGAACAGGAUGACAUAGAGGGUGAGAUCCCCGUGCCAGGAUGGCUGUCCAUCUUCAUGUGAAUUGCCUUCGAAGAGUCGAGUUGUUUGGGAAUGCAGCUCAAAAUGGGUGGUAAAUUUCAUCUAAAGCUAAAUAUUGGCGAGAGACCGAUAGCGCACAAGUAGAGUGAUCGAAAGAUGAAAAGCACUUUGAAAAGAGAGUUAAAAAGUACGUGAAAUUGUUGAAAGGGAAGCGCUUGAGACCAGACUCGAUUCGUGGUGAUCAGCUGUGCUUCUGUACGGUGCACUCGCCAUGGAUUGGGCCAGCAUCGGUUCUGACGGUGGGAUAAAAGGUUGAGGAAUGUGUCUUCCUUCGGGGAGUGUUAUAGCCUCAGUCACAAUGCCACCAGCUGGGACCGAGGACCGCGCUUC